CUGAAUAGGGCGCAUAAGUAACAGGUCGUAGACCCGAAACCAGGUGAUCUACCCAUGUCCAGGAUGAAGGUAAGGUAAUACUUACUGGAGGUCCGAACCCACGCACGUUGAAAAGUGCGGGGAUGAGGUGUGGGUAGCGGAGAAAUUCCAAUCGAACUUGGAGAUAGCUGGUUCUCUCCGAAAUAGCUUUAGGGCUAGCCUCGAGGUAAAGAGUCAUGGAGGUAGAGCACUGUUUGGACUAGGGGCCCUUCUCGGGUUACCGAAUUCAGAUAAACUCCGAAUGCCAUGUACUUAUACUCGGGAGUCAGACUGCGAGUGAUAAGAUCCGUAGUCGAAAGGGAAACAGCCCAGACCACCAGUUAAGGUCCCCAAAUAUAUGUUAAGUGGAAAAGGAUGUGGGGUUGCUUAGACAACCAGGAUGUUGGCUUAGAAGCAGCCACCAUUGAAAGAGUGCGUAAUAGCUCACUGGUCGAGUGACCCCGCGCCGAAAAUGUACCGGGGCUAAACAUAUUACCGAAACUGUGGAUGAACCUCUUUAGAGGUUCGUGGUAGGAGAGCGUUCUAAGGGCGGUGAAGUCAGACCGGAAGGACUGGUGGAGCGCUUAGAAGUGAGAAUGCCGGUAUGAGUAGCGAAAGAAGGGUGAGAAUCCCUUCCACCGAAUAUCUAAGGUUUCCUGAGGAAGGCUCGUCCGCUCAGGGUUAGUCGGGACCUAAGCCGAGGCCGAUAGGCGUAGGCGAUGGACAACAGGUAGAGAUUCCUGUACCAGUGCUAAUUGUUUAACCGAUGGGGUGACACAGAAGGAUAGGGAAUCGCACGAAUGGAAAUGUGCGUCCAAGCAGUGAGUGUGAGAAGUAGGCAAAUCCGCUUCUCGCGAAGCAUGAGCUGUGAUGGGGAAGGAAAUUAAGUACGGAAGUUCCUGAUUUCACGCUGUCAAGAAAAGCCUCUAGGAAGAGUAGUACUGCCCGUACCGCAAACCGACACAGGUAGAUGAGGAGAGAAUCCUAAGGUGAGCGAGAGAACUCUCGUUAAGGAACUCGGCAAAAUGACCCCGUAACUUCGGGAGAAGGGGUGCUCUAUUAGGGUGCAAGCCCGAGAGAGCCGCAGUGAAUAGGCCCAGGCGACUGUUUAGCAAAAACACAGGUCUCUGCAAAACCGUAAGGUGACGUAUAGGGGCUGACGCCUGCCCGGUGCUGGAAGGUUAAGAGGAGUGCUUAGCUUCGGCGAAGGUACGAAUUGAAGCCCCAGUAAACGGCGGCCGUAACUAUAACGGUCCUAAGGUAGCGAAAUUCCUUGUCGGGUAAGUUCCGACCCGCACGAAAGGCGCAACGAUCUGGGCACUGUCUCAACGAGAGACUCGGUGAAAUUAUAGUACCUGUGAAGAUGCAGGUUACCCGCGACAGGACGGAAAGACCCCGUGGAGCUUUACUGCAACCUGAUAUGGAAUGUUUGUACCGCUUGUACAGGAUAGGUAGGAGCCGAAGAGACGUGUGCGCUAGCAUACGAGGAGGCAAUGGUGGGAUACUACCCUGGCUGUAUGACCAUUCUAACCCGCCACGCUUAGCGCGUGGGGAGACAGUGUCAGGUGGGCAGUUUGACUGGGGCGGUCGCCUCCUAAAGAGUAACGGAGGCGCCCAAAGGUUCCCUCAGAAUGGAUGGAAAUCAUUCGCAGAGUGUAAAGGCACAAGGGAGCUUGACUGCGAGACUGACAAGUCGAGCAGGGACGAAAGUCGGGCUUAGUGAUCCGGUGGUUCCGCAUGGAAGGGCCAUCGCUCAACGGAUAAAAGCUACCCCGGGGAUAACAGGCUUAUCUCCCCCAAGAGUCCACAUCGACGGGGAGGUUUGGCACCUCGAUGUCGGCUCGUCGCAUCCUGGGGCUGUAGUCGGUCCCAAGGGUUGGGCUGUUCGCCCAUUAAAGCGGCACGCGAGCUGGGUUCAGAACGUCGUGAGACAGUUCGGUCCCUAUCCGUCGCGGGCGCAGGAAAUUUGAGAGGAGCUGUCCUUAGUACGAGAGGACCGGGAUGGACACACCGCUGGUGUACCAGUUGUUCCGCCAGGAGCAUCGCUGGGUAGCUAUGUGUGGCAGGGAUAAACGCUGAAAGCAUCUAAGCGUGAAGCCCCCCUCAAGAUGAGAUUUCCCAUUUCUUCGGAAAGUAAGAUCCCUGAAAGAUGAUCAGGUAGAUAGGUUUGGAG
rnacentral:rRNA from 1 species